rnacentral:rRNA from 1 species
GAUGAACGCUGGCGGCGUGCCUAAUACAUGCAAGUCGAGCGAAGCGGGGACGGGUGAGUAACACGUAGAUAACCUCCUAUAAGACUGGGAUAACUUCGGGAAACCGGAGCUAAACCGGAUACUUAUAGUGGGAUCAGCGCUGCAUUAGCUAGUUGGUAAGGUAACGGCUGACCAAGGCAACGAUGCAUGGCCGACCUGAGGGGGGGUUCGGCCAAACUGGAACUGAGACACGGUCCAGACGCCGACGGGAGGAAGCAGUAGGGAAUCUUCCGCAAGGGGCGAAAGCCUGACGGAGCAACGCCGCGUGGUUGAUGAAGGUCUUCGGAUCGUAAAACUCUGUUAUUAGGGAAGCGGUACCUAAUCAGAAAGCCACGGCUAACUACGUGCCAGCAGCCGCGGUAAUUC